ACAACAGAAAUAGAAAGAAUAAAAAAUCUAGAAAAAGAAAUACAAAUUCAACAACCAACAAACAUCAUUCCUGAAUCUAAUAACAACGAGGAAGAUUCAACUUCAUAUAACAAUGUAUCUGAAGAUGAAUCUGAUGUAACCUUACAAAACUACGAACUUACAAAAUAUCCCACAACACGGCCAUUUACAAUUCCAUUGCGUGUUAAACAACAACUUGAACAAAAAGUCAAUGAAAUAGUAGCAGAAGACUGGACAAUUGAUACCAUUAAAAAUUCCCACUACACCAAGUACAAAUUCACAAGUGAAUUAAUGUCUUCAAUAUUCACUAAUGAAUAUUUAAAAACGCACAAACGAUCUGGCAAAGGCGGAAAACCAGGAGCAAUCCAGCGGGAAAUCAUGAACCCGACAUACGUAGAAGAAAUAACAAAAUACCUGAUUCACGCCUGGCGCAAUUUAAAAGGAUCCACCCCUAAGAUCAGAGUUGAAACGAGCGCGCUCUGAGCUAGAGCGGAAUGCGAGCGCGCUCGCGUUUUUCGGUGAGCGGUGAGCUAGAGCCGCUCUA